rnacentral:ncRNA from 2 species
UCCAUUCGCGGAGAUGGCGUUCUCCUCUAACCGCCCACCAGGGCUGAUGACGCCUACUUCAAU